CAUUAAAAAGCAAGGUGGGAAGGUGUGCUCAUGUGACUUAUAAGUCAGAUAACAACCAAACAGAUGUGACUUAUAAGUCACUGAUUUUAAGUUACCUGACUUAUAAGUCAGGUGACUUAUUGAAACCAAACAGGCCCUUAGUACUAGAGCCCCAUCAUAUGAUAUUGUCUCGCUCAACCUGAUAGUUACCAGAAUACUAAUCGUUGGCUCUGCCGAAUACAAGAUGCCGGACAUAAGAAAUCUAGGAUCGGCGUUAAAUAAACCAAUAGGACAGGUGCCUAAGCUUUGGGAGCCAAUGAAUGACUGCUUGAAUUUGUUGUUAUCAUGGUACUACCUCUGCAAUUGUGCGGGAGACAUCAGCUCUCAAAGAUCUACAUCGUGUCAUUAGGACCACCUAUCCCUACGACUAGAUUGCUCACCAAUCAAAUUAGUGGGAGGAGAGCCUAGGGGAGAGAGACCACGCAAUCCAAUUGGGAUACGCAGGGCAUCAAAUCAUGGGAGGAGGGACCGAACCCCAUCAAGGUCGUCGACGCUGCCAAAACAACCAAUUGCCAUAUGCUCCAAACGAACCACCAGUGUCCAGCGGGUUCUCAAGCCAGAUAUGGUAAAGAAUAAUGGUACAAGAGAAACGGCCACCGAGGCACCGACGACAACAGUAUCGCCACCAUGCCUCCAUUGAUUUUGUAGGUCCCCGCCACAACACAAAUAAUUCUGCUUUCCGGUACAUGUAGCUUGCAGGAUCGAUUGCCUGGGGACACAAUGUCCCUGGUGUGGCUGAAAUGCUGGCCACAGCAAACACUGACCGUGGAAUUGCUACGAUGUCUUAAUAAUGUCUUAAGAUCGACUAUAAUCGUACGAAUCAACAAUUAUGACAAGUACAUAUGUGAGAUUUGCUACAAGAUUUGCAAAGUAUCACAAGAAGACAACAUGUUGGCAUUACACAAGAUUCCAUAAAUUACCGCAAAAAUUCCCAGAGAUCUUUGUGAGAAUUUAAGUUUUUAAACAUAAAUUAAGUGCAGACAUUUCUAAUUAGUAGCAUGAUGUAACUAAUAUAAGCAUGCAACUGUUUCAUACAACCUAUUUUUCUAGUGUAAUUACCAGAUUCUUAUGCAGGAUGGACAAAAUGCUCCAAUCUAUUUUCAGUCCUGAGAGGCACAUGCAUGUCUGCAAAAUUAGUUUUAACCUACCUUUCUAUAAGGACAGCUAGGCUGGUCCUUCCAAGAAUCAAACUGAAGAUUAAUGCAUACAAUUUUAUUUUUCAGAAUUUGGUUGUUAGUUGAAAUUCUCAGUAUAGUAACCAAAAUCAUGGUGAAAAUGGUCCUGCUAGCAUAUAUUGAGGAUGCCUUUUAAUAGAACGAAGGGAGAAUGUUUACUGUUCGUGGGUUUGUGAUUGUCCAAUACUACAGAGGUAGUACUUGACAAGCUUUUGUAAUUCUAAAAUGUUUGGAAAUGGACUACAAAGAACUCAAUAAAAUUUGCUUAGGUCAAGAGUUGCGCACCACGUCCACCGCAUGUCCACAGGCUCCACAUGCAGCACAGAUCAAAUGCUAAUCCUCUCAACCAACCAAUCCAAAAGAUGCCGAACCCUCAUGGCCAUGGGCCACUAUACUUGUUUAAAAAUGGGCACCGGACCCAGGACAGCCAAUUGGUGACUCAUCAUGUCUCAUCCCCAAAACGGAAAACUUCGUGGUGAAAUAUUUUGCAGUAUAUAACUCACUGGGCAGCGAUCUCCAUAUUAUUCCAUAUCCAACUUGCUCGUGCCUAUAAAUGAAGACCAUCCCACCCUAUGGCAAUGCACACCAGCAGACCAUUCCACAUGAUAGCAAAGCAGUCAGGGCAGAGGAAGAGGAAGAAGGGGCGAGAGCCGAGAAGUAAGUACCUGUAGAGCGUAUACUGGGGAGGCUUCUGCUGGGUUGCCAUACGCUAAGAGGCAGAGAACGGGAUGCAGCCAAGGAUGACUUGCCGGCUCCUGGUGCUGGGAGUUCGUUGAGCUUUAGAGUUAGCCGGCAAGUUGUCUUUGGCUACACUUAGUUCUCUUCUUCUGGUGUUUGGCCCUCAAGCAUUGUUGAGAAAACUCUAAUGCCUGCAUUUCUAUCAACUUCCAUCAUGGAAAUACAUGAAUAAGUAUGCAAAGCAUAAAAGAUAAGAGAUUGACUUUCUUGUGGUACCCCCUGACGAAAAUGAAAGUCCGAAGGAUGUACAGAACACACUGCAUGACAAAAGAUUCCUCAAGGCUCUCACAUGGCGGCAAAAAUUGUACUUGCAAUAUUGUACCACAAAGAUUAUGUAUACACAAAAGAAAAUCUUAAUUAUGUAGGACAGGAAGCAGGAGGUGCAUCAGCAAUGUAACCAUGUUACAAAAGCACUGCAUUCCCUUUUCAAUACAAAAAAGAAUGGACAACUUCAUUCCUCAA